AUUGAACGCUGGCGGCGUGCUUAACACAUGCAAGUCGAACGGUAAGGCCCUUCGGGGUACACGAGUGGCGAACGGGUGAGUAGCACGUGGGUGAUCUGCCCUGCACUUCGGGAUAAGCCUGGGAAACUGGGUCUAAUACCGGUUAGGACCACUGCCUGCAUGGGUGGUGGGGGAAAGCUUUUGCGGUGUGGGAGGGGCCCGGGGCGUAUCAGCUUGUUGGUGGGGUGAUGGCCUACCAAGGCGACGACGGGGAGCUGGCCUGAGAGGGUGACCGGCCACACUGGGACUGAGAUACGGCCCAGACUCCUACGGGAGGCAGCAGUGGGGAAUAUUGCACAAUGGGCGCAAGCCUGAUGCAGCGACGCCGCGUGAGGGAUGACGGCCUUCGGGUUGUAAACCUCUUUCAGCACCGACGAAGCGCAAGUGACGGUAGGUGCAGAAGAAGGACCGGCCAACUACGUGCCAGCAGCCGCCGUAA
rnacentral:rRNA from 1 species